rfam:Pseudomonas denitrificans ATCC 13867, complete genome.
GUACCGGUCACCGCAAGGUCCCUGUCACACGGACAGGCUGCUCUUUACGCGUCUCGCCAGUCGGGACGCAAACCGGCACCGCCGGCUUCAAUAAAACCCGCCGGGCACCGAUCCGGC